AGUCAACGCUGGCGGCGUGCCUCAGACAUGCAAGUCGAACGAUUAAGACUUCCUUCGGGAAGUGCAUAAAGUGGCGCACGGGUGAGUAACACGUAAGUAAUCUACCCUCGAGUGGGGAAUAACGUUCGGAAACGAACGCUAAUACCGCAUAAUGCAGCGGCAUCGCAAGAUGACAGUUGUUAAAGGAGUAAUUCGCUUGAGGAGGAGCUUGCGGCAGAUUAGCUAGUUGGUAAGGUAACGGCUUACCAAGGCUACGAUCUGUAUCCGGUCUAAGAGGACGGUCGGACACACUGACACUGAGUAACGGGUCAGACUCCUACGGGAGGCAGCAGUCGGGAAUUUUGGGCAAUGGGCGAAAGCCUGACCCAGCAACGCCGCGUGAAGGAUGAAGUAUUUCGGUAUGUAAACUUCGAAAGAAUGGGAAGAAUAAAUGACGGUACCAUUUAUAAGCUCCGGCUAACUACGUGCCAGCCGCCGCGGUAACAC
rnacentral:rRNA from 1 species